rnacentral:rRNA from 1 species
AUGAAGCAUCUUGACAAUGAUGCCUCAAAAAGACUAUUCUUGAAAAGGAUCUUUGCCCAUGAAGAUGAUUGCCCAUUUGAAUUGAAAGAAGUUACCAAUGACAUACUGAAGAAGUGUGAUGGCUUGCCACUUGCUAUAGUUAACAUGGCCAGCCUACUUGCAACUAAACCAACCACAAAGCUGGAGUGGAUGAGGGUGCGUAAUUCUCUUUAUUCAGCACUGGAACAAGACCAUGAGUUGGCAGUAGUAAGAAGGAUAUUGCUUUUGAGUUAUUGUGACCUACCUUGCUAUUUGAAGAUGUGUCUAUUGGACCUAAGCACAUUCCCUGAGGAUCAUAAGAUUGAUUGUAAGAGUCUAGUAUGGUGA